GAUGAACGCUGGCGGCGUGCCUAAUACAUGCAAGUCGAGCGAAUGGAUUAAGAGCUUGCUCUUAUGAAGUUAGCGGCGGACGGGUGAGUAACACGUGGGUAACCUGCCCAUAAGACUGGGAUAACUCCGGGAAACCGGGGCUAAUACCGGAUAACAUUUUGAACCGAAUGGUUCGAAAUUGAAAGGCGGCUUCGGCUGUCACUUAUGGAUGGACCCGCGUCGCAUUAGCUAGUUGGUGAGGUAACGGCUCACCAAGGCAACGAUGCGUAGCCGACCUGAGAGGGUGAUAGGCCACCCUGGGCCUAAGCCACGGCCCACACUCCUACGGGAGGCAGAAGUAGGGAAUCUUCCGCAAUGGACGAAAGUCUUACGGAGCAACGCCGCGUGAGUGAUGCAGGCUUUCGGGUCGUAAGACUCUGUUGUUAGGGAAGAACAAGUGCUAGUUGAAUAAGCUGGCACCUUGACGGUACCUAACCAGAAAGCCACGGCUAACUACGUGCCAGCCGCCGCGGUAA
rnacentral:rRNA from 1 species